rnacentral:rRNA from 1 species
GGAAUCUUAGACAAUGGGCGCAAGCCUGAUCUAGCCAUGCCGCGUGAGUGACGAAGGCCUUAGGGGCGUAAAGCUCUUUCGCCAGGGAUGAUAAUGACAGUACCUGGGAAAGAAACCCCGGCUAACUCCGUGCCAGCAGCCGCGGUAAUACGGAGGGGGUUAGCGUUGUUCGGAAUUACUGGGCGUAAAGCGCACGUAGGCGGAUUGAAAAGUUGGGGGUGAAAUCCCGGGGCUCAACCCCGGAACUGCCUCCAAAACUAUCAGUCUAGAGUUCGAGAGAGGUGAGUGGAAUUCCGAGUGUAGAGGUGAAAUUCGUAGAUAUUCGGAGGAACACCAGUGGCGAAGGCGGCUCACUGGCUCGAUACCGACGCUGAGGUGCGAAAGUGUGGGGAGCA